GAACGAACGCUGGCGGCAGGCUUAACACAUGCAAGUCGAACGAGUGUAGCAAUACACUAGUGGCGCACGGGUGCGUAACGCGUGGGAACCUUCCUCGUAGUUCGGAAUAACUCAGGGAAACUUGGGCUAAAUACCGAAUGCCUUCCUUCGGGAGAAAGAUUUAUCGCUACGAGAUGGGCCCGACGUCAGAUUUAGGUAGUUGGUAGGGUAAUGGCCUACCAAGCCGACGAUCUGUAGCUGGUCNGAGAGGAUGAUCAGCCAC
rnacentral:rRNA from 1 species